UUUGAAAAGCCAUAAAAGAUA
rnacentral:piRNA from 1 species